AGAGUUUGAUCCUGGCUCAGAGUGAACGCUGGCGGCGUGCUUAACACAUGCAAGUCGAACGGAAACAGCAGGGGCUUGCCCCUGGCUGUCGAGUGGCGCACGGGUGAGCAAUGUAUAGCUAACCUGCCCCUUGGUGGGGGAUAACAGUUGGAAACGACUGCUAAUACCCCAUAUGCCUCUAAUACAUAAGUAUGCGAGGGAAAGUUUUUUCGCCAAGGGAUGGGGCUGUAUCGUAUCAGCUUGUUGGUGGGGUAACGGCCUACCAAGGCUAUGACGCGUAGCUGGUCUAAGAGGAUGAUCAGCCACACUGGAACUGAGACACGGUCCAGACUCCUACGGGAGGCAAGCAUGGGGAAUAUUGCACAAUGGGCGAAAGCCUGAUGCAGCAACGCCGCGUGGAGGAUGACGCUCUUCGGAGUGUAAACUCCUUUUAUCAGGGAAGAAUUCUGACGGUACCUGAUGAAUAAGCACCGGCUAACUCCGUGCCAGCAGCCGCGGUAAUACGGAGGGUGCAAGCGUUACUCGGAAUUACUGGGCGUAAAGGACGCGUAGGCUGGUUUGCAAGUCAGGGGUGAAAGCCUACGACUUAACCGUAGAACUGCUUCUGAAACUGCUUACCUAGAGUAUGGGAGAGGUAGAUGGAAUUAGUGGUGUAGGGGUAAAAUCCGUAGAGAUCACUAGGAAUACCGAUUGCGAAGGCGAUCUACUGGAACAUUACUGACGCUGAGGCGUGAAAGCGUGGGGAGCAAACAGGAUUAGAUACCCUGGUAGUCCACGCCCUAAACGAUGUACACUAGUCGUUGCCAUGCUAGUCAUGGCAGUGAUGCAGCUAACGCAAUAAGUGUACCGCCUGGGGAGUACGGUCGCAAGAUUAAAACUCAAAGGAAUAGACGGGGACCCGCACAAGCGGUGGAGCAUGUGGUUUAAUUCGAAGAUACGCGAAGAACCUUACCUGGGCUUGACAUCCCGAGAAUCCCUUAGAAAUAAGGGAGUGCUAGUUUACUAGAACUCGGUGACAGGUGCUGCACGGCUGUCGUCAGCUCGUGUCGUGAGAUGUUGGGUUAAGUCCCGCAACGAGCGCAACCCUCGUGCUUAGUUACUAACGGUCCGGCCGAGGACUCUAAGCAGACUGCCCGGGCAACCGGGAGGAAGGUGAGGACGACGUCAAGUCAUCAUGGCCCUUAUGUCCAGGGCGACACACGUGCUACAAUGGGAAGGACAAAGAGACGCAAUACCGCGAGGUGGAGCAAAUCUCCAAACCUUCUCUCAGUUCGGAUUGGAGUCUGCAACUCGACUCCAUGAAGCUGGAAUCGCUAGUAAUCGUGAAUCAGCCAUGUCACGGUGAAUACGUUCCCGGGUCUUGUACUCACCGCCCGUCAUACCAUGGGAGUUGAGUUCACCCGAAGCGGGGAAGCUAAACUGGCUACCCUCCACGGUGGGCUCAGCGACUGGGGUGAAGUCGUAACAAGGUAACC
rnacentral:rRNA from 1 species